GAUGAACGCUGGCGGCGUGCCUAAUACAUGUAAGUCGAGCGAACAGACGAGGAGCUUGCUCCUCUGACGUUAGCGGCGGACGGGUGAGUAACACGUGGAUAACCUACCUAUAAGACUGGGAUAACUUCGGGAAACCGGAGCUAAUACCGGAUAAUAUAUUGAACCGCAUGGUUCAAUAGUGAAAGACGGUUUUGCUGUCACUAUAGAUGGAUCCGCGCCGCAUUAGCUAGUUGGUAAGGUAACGGCUUACCAAGGCAACGAUGCGUAGCCGACCUGAGAGGGUGAUCGGCCACACUGGAACUGAGACACGGUCCAGACUCCUACGGGAGGCAGCAGUAGGGAAUCUUCCGCAAUGGGCGAAAGCCUGACGGAGCAACGCCGCGUGAGUGAUGAAGGUCUUCGGAUCGUAAAACUCUGUUAUUAGGGAAGAACAAAUGUGUAAGUAACUAUGCACGUCUUGACGGUACCUAAUCAGAAAGCCACGGCUAACUACGUG
rnacentral:rRNA from 1 species